GUUAGUGUGUGUGUUAAUUUUUGUGUUUGUGUGUGUGUUACUGAGUAUGUUAGUUGUGUGUUUGUGUGUGUCUGUUAUUGAGUGUGUGUCUGCUAGUGUGUCAGUGAGUGUGUUAGUUUUUGUGUGUGUUAGUUUGAGUGUGUCUGUUAUUGUGUGUGUCUGCUAGUGAGGGUCUUUGUGUGUGUGUUACUGUGUGUGUCUGUUACUGAGUGUGUUAGUUUGUGUGUGUCUGUUAGUGUGUGUCUGUUAGUGAGUGUGUGUUUGUCAGUGAGAGUGUAUGUUUUGUAAGUGAGUGUGUAUGUUUGUCUGUCAGUCAGUGAGUGUGUAUGU